rnacentral:lncRNA from 1 species
UUAGGACAAGAUCUAAGCUUUGAUGUUUGUAAGAAAGUGGUGCAGGUAUGUUUCUAUAGCUGUCGUUAUUAGUGUGGCAAGAAAGAGUAUUUAUCUCGUAUUCUUUUAUAACCUAUGUGCUGAAAGAGUAUUUAUCUCGUAUUCUUUUAUAACCUAUGUGCAGUUAAUUCAAGGGAACAUCUCGGUAGUCCCUGGCUCGGACGGCUCGCCGGAAACCAUAUCACUGCUCCUCAGGUUUCGACGCCGG